GCCCGAUAGAUUUCUGCGAUGAUCAUAGGCACUAUGCUAAAAGACUGCCCGUCGAUACCCUCCAUAAAGGUCUUGGUUAACAUGGCUAGUAUAGUGUGGAUCCUAGAAUUCUUCAUAGGAAAUAUUAUCAUGCCCAAGAAGCAAAACAUGAACACAAAGACCCGUCUAUGUAUAUGUCCUAAAGAAGUGAGGGAAAACUGAUCCAUGUAGGUGUGAUAGGACUUGCUAUGGCCAUAUCUCUCGUACAAGAAGUCAAAUGGUAUGUAGGAAUCCUUCAAGCAAGACAGGUCGGGAUUUUUCUUGAGUCCCAUCACAUGAAGAAAACCUCUACCUUGCGGUUUUCCGG
rnacentral:lncRNA from 1 species